UACGUAGGGUGCAAGCGUUGUCCGGAAUUAUUGGGCGUAAAGAGCUCGUAGGCGGUUUGUCGCGUCGGCUGUGAAAACUCGGGGCUCAACCCCGAGCCUGCAGUCGAUACGGGCAAACUAGAGUGUGGUAGGGGAGACUGGAAUUCCUGGUGUAGCGGUGAAAUGCGCAGAUAUCAGGAGGAACACCGGCGGCGAAGGCGGGUCUCUGGGCCAUAACUGACACUGAGGCACGAAAGCGUGGGGAGCAAACAGG
rnacentral:rRNA from 1 species